GGGUCUCCUCUGCUGAGAGCUGAACACUGUUGGGACAACCUGCCUGUGGAGAGGAGCUACCCAC
rnacentral:miRNA from 1 species